AGGGUUUGAUCCUGGCUCAGAACGAACGCUGGCGGCGUGGCUAAGACAUGCAAGUCGAACGGACUGUUCAAUUGGGUAACCUUGAGAACAGUUAGUGGCGAAAGGGUGAGGAAUAGAUAGGUAACGUACCUUGAGCUCUGGGAUAGCGGUUCGAAAGGAUCGGUAAUACCGGAUGAUGUAGCCCUCUUAAUGAGGGUUACCAAAGAUUUAUCAGCUUGAGAGCGGCCUUUCUCCUAUCAGCUAGUUGGUGAGGUAAUGGCCCACCAAGGCUACAACGGGUACCGGGACUGAGAGGUUGACCCGGCACAUCGGAACUGAGACACUGUCCGGACCUCCACGGAGGGCUGCAGUAACGAAUAUUGGGCAAUGGGCGAAAGCCUGACCCAGCGACGCCGCGUGCGGGACGAAGUCCUUCGGGAUGUAAACCGCUGUCAGGGGGCCGAAAGUGCGCGCAAGUGCAUUGAUCUAUCCCUGAGGAAGUCACGGCUAACUUCGUGCCAGCAGCCGCGGUAAUACGGAGGUGGCUAGCGUUGUUCGGAAUCAUUGGGCUUAAAGCGGGCGCAGGCGGAAUGGUAAGUGUCUUGUGAAAUCCCCCGGCUUAACCGGGGAAUCGCUGGGCAUACUGCCUUUCUUGAGGCAAGCAGGGGUACAUGGAACUCUUGGUGGAGCGGUAGAAUGCGUAGAUAUCAAGAAGAACGCCAGUGGAGAAGUCGGUGUACUGGGCUUGUUCUGACGCUGAGGCCCGAAAGCGUGGGUAGCAAACAGGAUUAGAUACCCUGGUAGUCCACGCCGUAAACGAUGUCUACUAGGCUGUGGAGGUUCUGACACCUUCGCGGCCGAAGCAUAAGUGUUAAGUAGACCGCCUGGGGAGUACGGCCGCAAGGCUAAAACUCAAAGGAAUUGACGGGGGCUCACACAAGCGGUGGAGCAUGUGGAUUAAUUCGAAGCAACGCGCAGAACCUUACCUGGGCUUGACAUGCUUGGAUGCCCUCCAUGAAAGUGGUCGGGUUGCCCGCAAGGGUGAAACUUGCACAGGUGCUGCAUGGCUGUCGUCAGCUCGUGUCGUGAGAUGUCGGGUUAAGUCCUCUAACGAGCGGAACCCUUGUCGUUAGUUACCAUCAGGUUAUGCUGGGGACUCUAACGAGACUGCCGGUGUUAAACCGGAGGAAGGUGGGGAUGACGUCAAGUCCUCAUGGCCUUUAUGUCCAGGGCCUCACACGUGCUACAAUGGCGAGUACAAAGCGAUGCAAGACCGCAAGGUGGAGCCAAUCGCAAAAAAACUCGCCCCAGUUCGGAUUGUAGGCUGACAACUCGCCUACAUGAAGUCGGAAUCGCUAGUAAUCGCGUAUCAGCUAUGACGCGGUGAAUGUGUUCCUGAGCCUUGUACACACCGCCCGUCAAGUGAUGGGAGCCGGAAGUACCCGAAGUCGGAUUGCUAACCCGCAAGGGAGGCGUCUGCCGACGGUAAGUCUGGUGACUGGCACUAAGUCGUAACAAGGUA
rnacentral:rRNA from 1 species